rnacentral:rRNA from 1 species
UGGGGAAUAUUGCACAAUGGGCGCAAGCCUGAUGCAGCCAUGCCGCGUGUGUGAAGAAGGCCUUCGGGUUGUAAAGCACUUUCAGCGGGGAGGAAGGCGUUAAGGUUAAUAACCUUGGCGAUUGACGUUACCCGCAGAAGAAGCACCGGCUAACUCCGUGCCAGCAGCCGCGGUAAUACGGAGGGUGCAAGCGUUAAUCGGAAUUACUUGGCGUAAAGCGCACGCAGGCGGUUUGUUAAGUCAGAUGUGAAAUCCCCGGGCUCAACCUGGGAACUGCAUCUGAUACUGGCAAGCUUGAGUCUCGUAGAGGGGGGUAGAAUUCCAGGUGUAGCGGUGAAAUGCGUAGAGAUCUGGAGGAAUACCGGUGGCGGAGGCGGCCCCCUGGACGAAGACUGACGCUCAGGUGCGAAAGCGUGGGGAGCAAACAGG